CAAAGGCAUGGUCCUGACCCUAUUAUCAGCUCUAGCCCAACUUACACAUGCAAGUAUCCGCACCCCCGUGAGUAUGCCCUCGACCCCCCGCCCGGGGGUCAGGAGCGAGCAUCAGGCACACAUUAUUAUGGCCCAAGACGCCCCGCCAAGCCACACCCCCAAGGGAAUUCAGCAGUGAUAAAUAUUAAGCCAUGAGUGAAAGCUCGACUCAGUCAGGGCUAACAGGGCCGGUAAAACUCGUGCCAGCUACCGCGGUUAUACGAGGAGGCCCCAGUAA
rnacentral:rRNA from 1 species